ACGGGGYGCAGCAGGCGCGAAACCUCCGCAAUGUGAGAAAUCGCGACGGGGGGAUCCCAAGUGCCAUUCUUAACGGGAUGGCUUUUCAUUAGUGUAAAGAGCUUGAU
rnacentral:rRNA from 1 species